GAUCAUGGCUCAGGAUGAACGCUGGCGGCGUGCUUAACACAUGCAAGUCGAACGAAUUACGUUAAAAGAAGUCUUCGGAUGGAAAAUAAAGUAGUUAGUGGCGGACGGGUGAGUAACGCGUGGGAAACCUGCCCUAUACAGGGGGAUAGCCUCGGGAAACCGGGAUUAAUACCCCAUAAAGCUCUAGAAUCGCAUGAUUCAAGAGUCAAAACUCCGGUGGUAUAGGAUGGUCCCGCGUCCCAUUAGCUAGUUGGUGAGGUAACGGCCCACCAAGGCGACGAUGGGUAGCCGGCCUGAGAGGGUGAACGGCCACACUGGAACUGAGACACGGUCCAGACUCCUACGGGAGGCAGCAGUGGGGAAUAUUGCAACAAUGGGGGAAACCCUGAUGCAGCGACGCCGCGUGAGCGAAGAAGGCCUUCGGGUCGUAAAGCUCUGUCCCAAGGGAAGAAAAAGACGGUACCUUAGGAGGAAGCCCCGGCUAACUACGUGCCAGCCGCGGC
rnacentral:rRNA from 1 species